UACGUGAGGGGCAAGCGUUGUCCGGAAUCAUUGGGCGUAAAGCGCGUGUAGGCGGCCAGAAAAGUCCGCUGUGAAAACUCGAGGCUCAACUUCGAGCUGUCGGUGGAAACUUUCUGGCUAGAGUCCGGAAGAGGAGAAUGGAAUUCCUGGUGUAGCGGUGAAAUGACGCAGAUAUCAGGAAGAACACCUAUGGCGAAGGCAGCACUCUGGGGACGGUACUGACGCUGAGACGCGAAAAGCGUGGGGGAGCGAAACAGG
rnacentral:rRNA from 1 species